rnacentral:pre_miRNA from 1 species
UUAAUACUUUCUCCGUCUGAAAUUAUUUGUCGUAGAAAUGAAUGUAUCUAUACGUAUUUUAAUUCUAGACACAACCAUUUUUAUCCAUUUAUGUGAUAAGUAAUUCGAGACGGAGGAAGUAGUAU